ACGAAGGGGGCUAGCGUUGCUCGGAAUGACUGGGCGUAAAGGGCGCGUAGGCGGCUCAUACAGUCAGAUGUGAAAUUCCUGGGCUUAACCUGGGGGCUGCAUUUGAUACGUGUGGGCUUGAGUGGGGAAGAGGGUCGUGGAAUUCCCAGUGUAGAGGUGAAAUUCGUAGAUAUUGGGAAGAACACCGGUGGCGAAGGCGGCGACCUGGUCCUUGACUGACGCUGAGGCGCGAAAGCGUGGGGAGCAAACAGGA
rnacentral:rRNA from 1 species